GGCAGCACGGGGGGUAACCCCUGGUGGCGAGUGGCGAACGGGUGAGUAAUACAUCGGAACGCGUCCUGUAAUGGGGGAUAACCUAUCGAAAGGUAGGCUAAUACCGCAUACGUCCUGAGGGAGAAAGCGGGGGAUCGCAAGACCUCGCGUUAUAGGAGUGGCCGAUGUCGGAUUAGCUAGUUGGUGGGGUAAAGGCCUACCAAGGCGACGAUCCGUAGCGGGUCUGAGAGGACGGCCCGCCACACUGGGACUGAGACACGGCCCAGACUCCUACGGGAGGCAGCAGUGGGGAAUUUUGGACAAUGGGGGCAACCCUGAUCCAGCCAUGCCGCGUGAGUGAAGAAGGCCUUCGGGUUGUAAAGCUCUUUCGGCCGGGAAGAAAUCGCAUCUCCUAAUACGGGGUGUGGAUGACGGUACCGGAAGAAGAAGCACCGGCUAACUACGUGCCAGCAGCCGCGGUAAUACGUAGGGUGCGAGCGUUAAUCGGAAUUACUGGGCGUAAAGCGUGCGCAGGCGGUUUCGUAAGACAGCUGUGAAAUCCCCGGGCUUAACCUGGGAACUGCGGUUGUGACUGCGAGACUUGAGUGCGGCAGAGGGGGGUGGAAUUCCACGUGUAGCAGUGAAAUGCGUAGAGAUGUGGAGGAACACCGAUGGCGAAGGCAGCCCCCUGGGUUGACACUGACGCUCAUGCACGAAAGCGUGGGGAGCAACAGGAUUAGAUACCCUGGUAGUCCACGCCCUAAACGAUGCGAACUAGGUGUUGGGGAAGGAGACUUCUUUAGUACCGUAGCUAACGCGUGA
rnacentral:rRNA from 1 species